rnacentral:rRNA from 1 species
UACAGAGGGGGCAAGCGUUGUUCGGAAUUACUGGGCGUAAAGGGCGCGUAGGCGGCACUGUUAGUCAGGCGUGAAAGUCCUGGGCUCAACCUGGGAACUGCGCUUGAUACGGCAGAGCUAGAGGAUGGAAGAGGGUCGCGGAAUUCCCAGUGUAGAGGUGAAAUUCGUAGAUAUUGGGAAGGAACACCGGUGGCGAAGGCGGCGACCUGGUCCAUUACUGACGCUGAGGCGCGACAGCGUGGGGAGCAAACAGG